GCCGCCGUAGUAUAGCCCGGUUGAGUAUGCGGGCCUGUCGAGCCCGUGACCCGGGUUCAAAUCCCGGCGGCGGCG
rnacentral:tRNA from 1 species